AGCGGAGGAAAAGAAACCAACAGGGAUUGCCUCAGUAACGGCGAGUGAAGCGGCAAAAGCUCAAAUUUGAAAUCUAGCACCUUCGGUGUUCGAGUUGUAAUUUGAAGAUGGUAACCUUGGGUUUGGCUCUUGUCUAUGUUCCUUGGAACAGGACGUCAUAGAGGGUGAGAAUCCCGUCUGAUGAGAUGCCCAUUCCUAUGUAAGGUGCUAUCGAAGAGUCGAGUUGUUUGGGAAUGCAGCUCUAAGUGGGUGGUAAAUUCCAUCUAAAGCUAAAUAUUGGCGAGAGACCGAUAGCGAACAAGUACAGUGAUGGAAAGAUGAAAAGAACUUUGAAAAGAGAGUGAAAAAGUACGUGAAAUUGUUGAAAGGGAAGGGCAUUAGAUCAGACUUGGUGUUUUACGAUUAUCUUCUCUUCUUGAGUUGUGCACUCGUAUUUCACUGGGCCAGCAUCGAUUCGGAUGGCAAGAUAAUGGCAGUUGAAUGUGGCUUCACUUCGGUGGAGUGUUAUAGCUUCUGCUGAUAUUGCCUGUCUGGAUCGAGGGCUGCGUCUUUGACUAG
rnacentral:rRNA from 1 species